rnacentral:misc_RNA from 1 species
GAAAUGCGAUAAGUAAUGUGAAUUGCAGAAUUCAGUGAAUCAUCGAAUCUUUGAACGCACAUUGCGCUCGCCAGUAUUCUGGCGAGCAUGCCUGUUCGAGCGUCAUUUCAACCAUCAAGCUCUGCUUGCGUUGGGGAUCCGCGGCUGCCCGCGGUCCCUCAAAAACAGUGGCGGGCUCGCUAGUCACACCGAGCGUAGUAACUCUACAUCGCUAUGGUCGUGCGGCGGGUUCUUGCCGUAAAACCCCCAAUUUCUAAGGUUGACCUCGGAUCAGGUAGGAGUACCCGCUGAACUUAAGC